GACUGGUCCAAGUGCAUUGAUGUUUACAACUCAUUGAUCACAACCAGUUACAGAUUUUUUUUCUUCCUUCUUCACUCCCCUGCUUCACUUAACUAGCCUAAA
rnacentral:Y_RNA from 1 species